rnacentral:lncRNA from 1 species
GUUGUGGUGUGGGACUUGGAUUGAGAUCUCUUCGCUAUUUAACUAUCGGUUACUGUUAUCUCUAUUAGUGUCUACUCCUCAACAGUAUUUGGUUUUCAAAUCUAUUACUAUUACUAUUGAUCUGCAAUGAAUUGUGAAAUGGCAUCAAGGUGCAUUGUGAAAAACAAAAUUUAGAAUGGCCAGUGAUUUUAGAGAAUAUUUAAGAUAUCCAAAAUAGAUUAAAUGCAGUGAUUUUAGAGAAUAUUAAAGAUAUCCAAAAUAGAUUAAACGUAUUGGUAUCAUCUACAUACAACAAAAUGCAAUAAGACACACAAGCACAAACUUCAGGCAGAGCAAAGUUCUUUAUCCAUAAGAUAAACAUUACCUUGACUAGAGCUAUAAGUAUCUCAACCAAUAUUUCUGAUUAGCUUAACUCCAUGAGCAACUCCUCUAUAACUCUGACUCAAUAUUUCUGAUUGGCUAACUCCAUGAGCAACUCCUCUAUAAUGAUGAUACAAGAGUCUCAACAAUCUACAAGAUAACAGCACCAUCGAAAUAAUUCAGUAUUCUAAAGUUUAGCAACUCACAAAAUAUGAUUAUCUAAUAAAAUGAGUACAUAGAAUAUAAAGCACAAGAGACCCUUACAACAUACAAAAACAACUGAUGGUUCAAUUUCACAUUUGUUUAGCUAUGUAAAAAUGGUGUAAAUUCAAGGGUAUACAACUAAGUCAUAUUAUAAUCUUAUAUAUGUAUUGGUAGCAAGUUCCUUAAUAUUAAAAAAUGGAAAAAUUGAUUAUAACAGUUUAAUUUAACCCUAAAUUGAGCCUCCAAUUUUUUCUCGCAAAAAUUAAAAGUUUUAUACCUUCCAAUAAGAGGUUGAUAAAGGAGAUGAGGGUUUGAGUCGGCAAGAAAGGGAAAUGAUACAGAACUUCACAUGGCAACAUCGUCAUGGAGGAGGUUGAUGAAUCUUUGGCGGUAGAUUUUCAAUUUUGUAUCUCAGAUCAAUUAAGGGUUUAGCAAUUCUCAUAUCGAUCGAGAGUUUGGGAUUUAUCAGUCGAUGGAUAGUUUGAUCGAGCAAGAAAGGUUUGGGAGGAAUGAUCGAUUGAGGGUUUGGGAAUUCCCAAAUCGAUUGAGAGUGGGAGAAAGGGAGUGAAAAAGUUUCUUCUUUUGAUACUUGACUCAAUUAACAGUGAAUAGAUUAGAGAUGAAUAUGAUGAAAGGAUUUUGGAGGAACAAGAUGAAGAUGACGGUUACGUUCAGGAGAGAAAGUGAGGGUUCGGUUUUGAAUUUUGAUUCAAUUGAAAAUCAAC